rnacentral:rRNA from 1 species
AACGAACGCUGGCGGCAUGCCUAACACAUGCAAGUCGAACGAGACCUUCGGGUCUAGUGGCGCACGGGUGCGUAACGCGUGGGAACCUGCCCUUAGGUUCGGAAUAACUACACGAAAGGGGUGCUAAUACCGGAUAAUGUCUUCGGCCCAAAGAUUUAUCGCCUUUGGAUGGUCCCGCGUUGGAUUAGCUAGUUGGUAGGGUAAAAGCCUACCAAGGCGACGAUCCAUAGCUGGUCUGAGAGGAUGAUCAGCCACACUGGGACUGAGACACGGCCCAGACUCCUACGGGAGGCAGCAGUGGGGAAUAUUGGAAAAUGGGCGAAAGCCUGAUCCAGCAAUGCUGCGUGAGUGAUGAAGGCCUGAGGGUAGUAAAGCUCUUGUACCCAGGAUGAUAAUGACAGUACCGGGAGAAUAAGCUCCGGCUAACUCCGUG